rnacentral:rRNA from 1 species
UACGAAGGGGGCUAGCGUUGUUCGGAAUUACUGGGCGUAAAGCGUGCGCAGGCGGCUUCUCAAGUCAGGGGUGAAAGCCCAGAGCUCAACUCUGGAAUUGCCUUUGAGACUGAGUGGCUUGAGUACGAGAGAGGUGAGUGGAAUUCCCAGUGUAGAGGUGAAAUUCGUAGAUAUUGGGAAGAACACCGGUGGCGAAGGCGGCUCACUGGCUCGUAACUGACGCUCAUGCACGACAGCGUGGGGGAU